rnacentral:piRNA from 1 species
UUGAGGACUCAAAGCUCAAAGCCUCUGCUGGA